GAUAGAAAUCGAAAAAAAAUAACUGAGAAAACCUCAAGAAAGAAGUACUUGUUUUAUUUAGAUUAUCUCCUCAUCAAACAAAAGCAUGGUUCUGCGACAGCUGAUUAUUAAAGAUCUUAUUAUCUACAGAAUUACGUAUUUAUGUUUCUCAGACUGGUUGCCGUAUAUACAAACUACUGAGAACUGGAGAAAUAUAAAUUGUAGUGGAAUCUCUUUCAUCAGAAAUAAUGUAUUUACUAUGUGGUUUAGUUGAAACAUUUGUAUAUUGUAUUUUAAAUGUGAAGUUAAAGUUUUAUACGGAAAUAAAAUAAAAAUAUUAUUCAGUAUUUU